AAAUUGAAGAGUUUGAUCAUGGCUCAGAUUGAACGCUGGCGGCAGGCCUAACACAUGCAAGUCGAACGGUAGCACAGAGAGCUUGCUCUCGGGUGACGAGUGGCGGACGGGUGAGUAAUGUCUGGGAAACUGCCUGAUGGAGGGGGAUAACUACUGGAAACGGUGGCUAAUACCGCAUAACGUCGCAAGACCAAAGAGGGGGGCCUUCGGGCCUCUUGCCAUCAGAUGUGCCCAGAUGGGAUUAGCUUGUUGGUGAGGUAACGGCUCACCAAGGCGACGAUCCCUAGCUGGUCUGAGAGGAUGACCAGCCACACUGGAACUGAGACACGGUCCAGACUCCUACGGGAGGCAGCAGUGGGGAAUAUUGCACAAUGGGCGCAAGCCUGAUGCAGCCAUGCCGCGUGUAUGAAGAAGGCCUUCGGGUUGUAAAGUACUUUCAGCGGGGAGGAAGGUGUUGUGGUUAAUAACC
rnacentral:rRNA from 1 species